GGUUCCGUGGCUCAAUUGGAUAGAGCAUGGGUUUUCUAAACCCGGGGUUACAGGUUCGAGUUCUGUCGGAAUCACAA
rnacentral:tRNA from 1 species